GUAUAGAUUACAUACAUAUAAAUACAGUGUGUGUGUGUAUAAUUAGGUGUAUAUAUUACAUACAUAUAAAUACAGUGUGUGUGUGUGUGUAUAAUUAGGUGUAUAGAUUACAUACAUAUAAAUACAGUGUGUGUGUGUGUGUGUAAUUAGGUGUAUAGAUUACAUACAUAUAAAUACAGUGUGUGUGUGUGUAUAAUUAGGUGUAUAGAUUACAUACAUAUAAAUACAGUGUGUGUGUGUGUGUAUAAUUAGGUGUAUAGAUUACAUACAUAUAAAUACAGUGUGUGUGUGUGUAUAAUUAGGUGUAUAGAUUAUAUACAAAUAAAUACAGUGUGUGUGUGUGUGUAUAAUUAGG